CAGUUCUUCAGCCUGGGUCGGUACCAAAUCUGAACCAUUGAGGGGCAUGGAUCGAACGGCUAACAGCAAUCAGUACCUCCAGGUACCAUUCAGUUUGUAGGUGGUACCGGCCAAAGGAGAUAGAGGUGGAAGGGUAAAACUGUAUUUUUGCGUUGGAUAUGAGGUUGAAACGAUCGGAGCCGGUGAACCUCUUUGUUCGGAUUAGGCGGCCGGUGACGGCGGCGGCAUGUGAGACGGCCAGCGGCAGUGCGUGUGGAUCCCUAGAUGCGGCAACUAGCGUGAAGUAGAGCACACAUGGAAGGGCGUGGAGCUGAACGAGGAAGCUAGCUACCAAGCGAGCUGUUCAGUGGCUGGAGGAAACCCUCGACGGCAACACACAGUGGUGGUACCAAGGCCGGAGUGGUUGUGUUGCCGGUCCGGUGGGUGACUCCGACUAAUAUGCUUCUGCCGCCGGCGGCAGUGCCAGAGGAGGAGGAGGCAACAACGGGGGAGUAGGCGCCGGCGGAGGAGGAAGGGGACGCGGCGGUGGCAGUGAAGGAGGAGGACGUGGCGGCUGAGGAGUUGCCGCUGGAGGGCAUGGAAGGGGAAAGGAUUACGGCACACACGCGUGUGGGCUGCGACUAGAUGGCAAGCGAGCGCACCUACAUUUUCUCCCGAUCGUACGCUUCCGAAUUGAACGGUCCGAUCUUUUUAGGUACCUACAGAUAUCAGUACUGGGCGGUACCUAUUACUGGACUAUAAAAAUUCUCUAACAAAUAUAUGAUUUUAUUAAAGUACUUUGACUAAGCUAUACAUGUAGUCACCAUAUUUGAAAGACAAAUAUUUUAAAAAUGAUUCAUAAUUAAAGAUUCUAAAGUUUGACCUCACCCUUGUCUAAAAUGAUAAGUGUUAUCAGUCCGGAGGGAGUAUACAUCACACAAGAGAAGAAUUAUAGUACGCAGUGUGGCGAGAAAGUUUUUCUUCCAUCUCAUCAAUUAAGGAGGUAUAGAAGGUAAACUAUUUAAACUCCGUCCUCUAACCACUCCUGAUCUAAUGCAUGCCCGUGUCCUCGAGCCUCAGCUAUAGCGAUGCCACGGCCACCACCAUCCUGUCGCCCAUCCUUUUCCCCUGCAGAUCUCCCUAGCCAUCCUUUCAAGCUCGGAAAAAACAUCAUCUUCCCCUUCCUCUAACCCCCACCCUAAAAACCCCAUAAUCCGUACAUCCGUUGCUGGAAUUCGGGUGUCCUUCACGGUGCGGAAGAUGGAAGGGGUUGUCAAGGAGCUCGCGGUCGUCGGUCGUCGCCGACAAGCCCUGGCUGCCACCACCCCUGGCUCUCCUAUCUUCUUGUCUACCCCAUUCUAGAGGUUAAAGGCGACUGAGAGCACAUGAAAUUUGGCAAUUUCCAUUAGCAAUUUUCAAGCACGCAUUCGUUGGUGUUCCGAUAUUGGCAUAGGGCUGGUAGCAACACAGGAGAGGAGACAAGGAGAGGAGAAAGCGCUUCGUGUUGGUGACCUAACACAUGACAUGAGUCGCUUAGCGAGCUGGACAGUGGUACGCGGGCAGUGCAGCACUACCUGGCUGUACCCCCACCACUCAUGAAUGCCCCUGCUUUUGUAGUUCUGUGUCUCCCACCCUCCAGUUGCCAUUAGGUGUGACCUUGUGUAGGUAGCCUUUCUUCUAGCAGCAAGCAAGAAUGUAUUCCAAACGAUAUCACGGUCUAACAUAGGCCAGGUAAAGCUAAGCAGUGGAUCACUGUUUCUGCUAGACUGCUACUUAUCAUCGCAAACCGAGGUUCGGUCUGUACUCUGAAUUGCAAACGGGAGAUCAUCUACAGUA